UUCAAAGUUCCUGCAGCAACAAGUGCCAUUAUAACAAAUGAUGGUAUAGGAAUAAACCCUGCACAGACAGCAGGAAAUGUGUUUCUGAAGCAUGGUUCGGAUCUACGAAUUAUUCCCAGAGAUCGUGUUGGGAGUUCUUAACGUCUGCUGAAAGCUUUGGAAUAAGUGACAUUGCUAUGCAGCAAAGGUCUAUUUAUUUGGGAACUACAAAAUACAACUAAUGAAUUGGCCUUUUUUAUAGCUAGCAAAAAUUACUUCCUGGGAUUUUAUUUUUUUUAAACAGAGAUAAGUUUUCAUUUCUUGUCAAAAUACAUUAACUCAUGCACUGAUUCUUCCUUGACUAGUAGAAGAAUGGGCUGAUUUCAUGUUAUGUUCCUGAAAGAAAGAUGGGCUUCUCUAUAGGUAUUACUGACAGCACAAGGGUAAACACACAGCCAUGACCCAUUGAUAUUUAAAGUAUCGGAUAUGGUUGAGCCUACUUUGUGGAUGGGGGAACUGUGUUAUGAUUUUGCUGCAAAGAAAUUAUUCCUACUGAAUG